UUAAAAGGCAUGUCAUCUCAGGUGUCCAUUCAAUCUUAUCUUCUUUGCCCCUAGUAGCCUCAUAUAAUGGCUGUGCUAUCUCAGUGAACCCUGGCACCCAGAGUCUACAAAACACCAUGGACCUAAAAAUUCCUGUACUUGCCUUUGGGUUGAUGGAACUGGAAUGCUGAGGAUGGAUUGCUUCUGGGGGUCCAACAGCAUGCGUUGGCCCCCCAGGUUGUGUAUGUACCCCAGAUAGGUGACUUCAAGUUGGCCUCCUUAACAGACACUUAGUAGCCCAAUUGACUCAGCUACUGUAGUAGGUCUCGUGUGGUCUCUUGGCAAGUCUCCAGGUUGGGGGCCACAAUUAUGAGGUUAUCUAUGAACUGGAGUAAGGUUAUUUGAGGGUGGAUCCGCUGGUAUUCACCUUAAGUUCAGAAAGUUCGUGAAUCCUUGAGGCAGACAUAUCUAGUCUGUUAAAGCCUCUCUCCAAAUAUUGCCGUUCAAAAGCAAAUAGAGGCUGGCUUUUGGCUGCCAGGGGCAAGCUAAAGAAGCCAUCCUUCAGGUCGAGCACAGUGCACCUGGUGUACCUGGGAAGGAGGCUGCUGAGCAGGGUGCAGUGGUUUGAACUGUAGGAUGGCUAUCUUCCACCUGCUUGUUUAUCCCCCUCAAAUCCUGUACAGGCUGACAGUUAUAGAAAUGAGGCUUCUUGCCUGCAAGGAGAGAGGUGUUCCAUGUCAGCUGGCAAGGAAUCAGAAUCUCUGCCUCCCAGAGCCAGCUGAUGUGCAGGGUGAUCCCAUUCUGGCUUCUCUAGGCCUUGGAUAUUGCCUGGUUUGGGCUCAGGCAGCCCCAGCCUUUAACUGAACUAGAACUGAAGUCCAAUGACAGGUGAGUCCUAUUGAAUUCUUUUCUGCCCAGACCUCGGGACUUCUCUCAGAAACUUCUGGAGCAACAGGCUCAGAGAUGGAACAAGCCAAGGGGACAAUUUAUAGUCCUCCUCUAGAACCAAGGUCAUAACAUGGACGGGGCCAUUCUUAUCCAGGACUUUCACUCCUUCUGGACCAAAAUGGAUUUGGGUUCCCAUUUUGAUAAGAAAGUUUCUUCCCAGAAGGGGGUAUGGACAACCAGGGAUGCCCAUAAAUGAGUCUGUUACCUGUCCACCUUUCUUUGGUUAAUCCAUGGAUAGGGCUUGAUGUCCGUUGGCCCUUGCACCCAUGUUUUCUGGUCUGACAGUGGCCCCAGUGGUUGUGCCCCGGUAUCCACUAGAAAGUCUAUGGGCUUCCCCUCUACCUUCAGGGUUACUCAGGUCUCAUGGUGUAGAGUUGAGCCCCAAUACUCCUGAGUCAUCUAGUUCUUCCAACUCCAGUACCUUUGGGCCCUCUCUUGGGUUUCUUUUAGGGCACUCAUUUUUGCAAUGGCCCUUCUCUUUGCAAUCGGCACACUGAACCCUUGUAAUGGAGGGCUGGUUUCUCCUUUAAUGGGUACUGGCUUACCUUUGCCCCUUCCAUUGGGGCAAGUUUUUCAGCUCUCUUUCAUUGCUUUGUGGUGGCGAACAGCGCUUUCGCCAGUUCUUGGUCUGCUGAUCAUCAGGGCUCUCUUGAUUGUUAUAAGCCUUCUCAGCUAUAACAUCUAAUUCAGUUAGUUACCCAAAAAGCUGUCCAGGCACUGAAGUUUCUGAAAGAUGUCAGGGGCAGCUUGAUUGACAAAGGCCAUGUUUUUGGCAGAUUGGUUCUCUCUGGCCUCUGGAUCGCACUGAGUGUAGGUCCUGUAGGCCUCCAUCAAUCUUUCUAGGAAAUUUCUCAGUGACCCACCUUUUCCUUACACAUCUGAAUUACUUUGGACAAAUUUGUAGGCCAUCUAGCAGCCUCUUAGAGACCCCUCCCCCACGAGAACCUGGUAGUACACCAUGAGUUUCUCUUCAUCAACUGCAUCAGUGUUAUGGUCCCAAUCAGGCCCAGUCAAGACCACAUCAAUAUUGGCCCGGAUCUGGGUGGGCAGCCCAUUUGCUCCCAGAACAAACUUUCAGGCAGCUCCAACGAUCCAUUCCCUCUCUUUACCAGAGAAGAGACCCUGGAACAGUUGUUGACAAUCAUCCCAGGUCAGUUGGUGAAUCAACAUUAUUGAAUCCAAGAGUUCUAUCAAGUCAGAUUGUUUUUCUGAGAAUUUAGGGUUCUUCAAAUUCCAAAUAUAAAGGUCAUUAAUAGCAAAGGGACAAAAGACAUUCAGGCACCUGGACUUACCAAUUGGCAGGGAGUAAAUCUGUCCUGGAAAAUGUUUGACUAUUUGGAUUGUCAAUCCCACAUGAGCCCCCAAAUGUAAGGUCUGUGAAUCUCUGAAGAAUGACAUCCCAGGCUCAAGUAGUAUGAAAAAGCUAAGAGAGUUUAUUCUGCAGAAAUCCAGCAUGCAGGGGUCUAGCAUUCAUCAAAAUGCCCACUUCAAGGUGAGCUUGCAGGCUCAAUUUAAAGCUAAUUAGGGGAAUUCCAGGGAAGGGUAGGUGAUCUUUAUCCUGAUUGGUUGGCUCUCUCUCUAGGGGUACUGGUAUCUUUGGGAUUGGCCAAGGUUCUGAGGACUUUCCAGAACUAUUGCUGACUAUUCUUACCUCGGGCCAGAUGGUAGGACAGCUCCUGAUUGUGGGCUGUAGUUUUUCUUGGAACUGGUUUGUUCAGUUCUGGGAAACAGAAACUUAGGCCUAGUCCCCCCCCUGAACUGGCAUCUCACAGCCUGUCAUGGAGUCAAUCUAGUUCAACCUCCUCAACUCAAGUCACAUGUACACACACACACACACACACACACACACAAAUGCAAUCAAAACUUAUCAUUCCUUUUUUUUUUUUUUUUUUGGACAGGGUCUCACUGUGCAGCUCUGCCUGUUCUAUAACUCACUUUGUAGACUAGAUUGACCCUGAACUCAAGAGAGCCACCUGCCUCUGCCUGCCAGGAUUAAAGAUGUGUGCUAUUAUACCCAGCUCAAUACUUCCUUAAAGCUCCCAAUACCUUUAAAAAUAUUUUUAUUUUAUGUAUAUGAAUAUUUCUUGCAUGCACCACAUGUGUACCUGGUGCCUUCAGUGGCAAGAGGAAGGUGUCAGAUUUCCAGAAAACAGAGCUAUUGUAAGCUGCCAGAUGUGUGGAGGGAACCAAAUGGAAUUCUCUGCAAGAGGAACAAGAGCUCUGAGGGCUAAAUCAUGUUUCCAUUGCCCCAAUGCCCAAUACCUCAACAGUCAAUUCUGUCUCUAGGCAAUCACUGAUCUAUUUUCUGUCAUUAGAAAUGGGUUUCUAUUUUUUUAGCAGCUUGCAUAAAAUAAAAUCAGAUAGCUGAAGUAUAUAUCUUUAAUUUUAAAAAAUAUUUUGAUUUUCUGAGACAAGUCUCACUAUGUAGUUCAGGCUGAUUUGAAACUUGCUUCUAAAAGUGUAGAGAUGGCUCUGCAAUUAGAAGCACUUUGUGUGUGUGUGUUUGAGACAGGGUCUAUUAUGCAUCUCUGGCUGUGCAAACCAGGCUGGCCUGGAACCCAUGGAGAUCUGCCUGCCUCUGCCUCCCAGGUGCAGGGAUUAAGGCGUGCACCCCCAUGCCUGGCACUUGUUCUUGUAGAGAACCAGGUUCAUUUCUAGCACCUUUGUGGUGGUUCACAAAUAUCUGUGGCUCAAGUCCCAGGGGAUCCAAUGCCCUCUUCUGACCUCCAUGGACAUCAAGCACACAUGUGGUACAUAUGCAUACAUGCCCAACAAAACACUCAUGCAUAAAAUAAACUGAGUUACCAAAAAACAAAACAAACCAUAAAAAAAAAAAACACAAAAAAACUUACUGUGUGGUCCAGAAAAAUCUCAAACUAGAAAACCUUCUACCUUCUGUAAGAAAUAAGUUUGGAGUUACAAAGAAAAGCAACUGACGUGUCUAGACAAAGCAAAACUUUACUCUUGAUCAAGAGGGUGCACAACUCAAAAAGAAGAGCAUGCACACCAGGGCAGGAAGUGAGUGCACUUGGUUUUUAUUCUAACAUAAGUGGUCUUUUCCCCAUUGGCUAGGGCCUGACUUUACAGUCUUUCUCAAUUGGCUAGUUUUAAAAGAAUUGGCACAAAGGAAACGGGGAAGGCCCCUGAAUCAUUUAAAUUCCAAAACUGUAACAGGGUCUUUGUGUAAGCAAAAGGUUAACUAGGUUGUGAGGGAGGAUUUAAAAUAUUAUAAAGUUUUAAAAGGUAGAGGAGAUCAAAAGGUUUGAAAUCAUCCACAACAAAACCUACAGUGUUUAACAGGAAGACUAAUAUUUAAAGUUUCUUAAGCUCCUGUACUGGCAAGUUUUGUGUCAACUUGACACAGGCUGGAGUUAUCACUGAGAAAGGAGCUUUACCUGGGGAAGUGCCUCCAUGAGAUCCAACUGUAAGGCAUUUUCUCAAUUAUUGAUCAAGUAGGGAGGGUCCCUUGUGGAUGGUACCAUCUCUGGGCUGGUAGUCUUGGGAUCUAUAAGAAAGCAAGCUGAGCAAGCCAGGGGAAGCAAGCCAGUAAGGAACAUCCCUCCAUGGCCUCUUCAUCAGCUCCUACUUCCUGACCUGCUUGAGUUCCAGUCCUGCAUCCUUUGGUGAUGAACAGCAAUGUGGAAAGUGUAAGCUGUAAGCUGAAUAAACCCUUUCCCCCCCAACCUGCUUCUUAGUCAUGAUGUUUUGUCCAGGUAUAGAAACCCUGACUAAGACAGCUCCCAAGUACAAAUAUGUGCCACCAGGUCUAGCCAAAGUCAUUACAAUUAUAUAACAUGGAGUCUAAACAGAGAUUUUUCUAUUUUGUGGAAAUUUUACCUUUUCUUUGUUAGGACUUUGGAAACAAGUUGAAAUAAUUAUAUUGCUUUUCAUAUCCAAUUUUAUAUUCAACUUAAAUGACAGCUGCUAGUGAAAAAGAGGAAAUUUCUGAGCAUUUAUAGCCAUGAAACUUAUGGUAAUC
rnacentral:lncRNA from 1 species